CCUACGGGUGGCUGCAGUGGGGAAUAUUGGGCAAUGGGCGAAAGCCUGACCCAGCAAUGCCGCGUGGGUGAAGAAGGUCUUCGGAUUGUAAAGCCCUUUCGGCGGGGACGAUGAUGACGGUACCCGCAGAAGAAGCCCCGGCUAACUUCGUGCCAGCAGCCGCGGUAAUACGAAGGGGGCUAGCGUUGCUCGGAAUUACUGGGCGUAAAGGGCGCGUAGGCGGCACACACAGUCAGGCGUGAAAUUCCUGGGCUCAACCUGGGGGCUGCGCUUGA
rnacentral:rRNA from 1 species